AAAUAAUCACUUUAUUAAAUAAAGUUCUCCAGUUAUGACAAAUAUUUAAUGAGGUCUUGCAAAAAUUAAAUGUGUCCUAAUCUUCUAGAUAGAGGUUGGAGUUCUUUCGCUAGGUUGUAGUAAGCAUGUUUUAUGGAUCCGAUAUGAUGAUUUUCUGUGAUAAUUUAUGAGAAGCCGAGGGCAGAAACAUUCAGUAGAUCAACAAGGGUUGGAUGAAAACCUGACUCUUUCUAAGUGUGGAUCUGCGAUGGAGUUCACAAUUGGGUCAAAUUUAAGAAAUUUCCAUUGGAGACAAAUAUGCAGAUAAGUACUAUCAUCAGAUUUAAUAUUAACACUGUGUAUGCUUUGGAUAGUUUAUAUUCUGAAUUCGGUGCAAGGUUUUUUAUGAAGACUAUCAAUCUUUUCAAUUAAUAAAGACCUUAUUUUUCUAUCAGGCCAAGUUAUAUAUUGGUAUCAUAAAGAAUAAAGACAAGAACGGGACUAUUGUUAUUGGCAUAAUAAUUUUGUGAGCCCAAUCUUUUUAUUGAUUCAUUCCUAAGUUUUGGCAUGAGGAAAAGAUAUAAUAUCAAUUUUGGUUCAAGUCCAAUAUUUCUAAUGUUUGGUGAUUGAUAUUUCUAAUGUCUAGCACAUGAAGUCUAUCGCAUAUCAACCUGGGCAUUUUUAGCUAUGUUGAGGUCUUGUGUCUGAGCUUACGGGCACUCUGGAAGAAGAGUGUUGUUGUGUGGAGAACGAUUACUGCUUCGUGUUACAAAUGAAAGCAACAGUAACAAUUGAUAACCUAUUGGAAGCUUUUUUGGGCCGUUGGAUGUGAUUGCAGAGGAGCAUAUCAGGGGUCAAGGACAGAAUUGCUGAUAAAAGAUCGUCAUAUGUUCAGUCCGUAUGAAAAGUCUAGGAGGGAGAUAUCGACGGAGGUCUGGCUCAUUACAGUCGCUGCAAGUAUAUUCUUUUUAGUCACUGUUGCUGAAAUAAGAAGGCAGUUUAAUAUUGUUCCUGAAACAGUUGAUUUCCAGUACAUAAUAUCUCUGUUCAUCUUUAUAUGCAUAGCAGUGAAAUGAAAUUUAAGAGAAAUCAGAAUUGGAUGUCAUCAAGUGUAAAAUUUGAAGGAAUUAUUGUAAGGACAUAUUAUUGUUUUUCUAUUAUCCCUAUUUGGGGAUAUUACAGAAUUAGGAUUGGAUGACAUUGAUGAGGUUGAGGAGGUAUUGCAAUCUACUACCAGGAUGGAGGUUGAGCCACAACCUUCUAUGCCAAGCAAGGAGCCACAGUUGACACUAAGGAUUAGAACCUCAACCUCUCCCCAAGUUUUCACUAGAUUAGGGGAGAGGAAAAUGUAAAAUGUUGCAUUUACUAUCUUCAUUUUGUCAACUAUCCAUUACACAAGGCUAUCAACCAUUAGGAUUUCAUGUGACGAUACAAUUUUGCAUUCAGUUUACAUUCAAAUAACUCAAGUUUAAUAGAAAACACUUUUGUACUCAUUUAUGGACCUCAUUGGAUACAGUCAUUGAAUUUUGCAAAAAAUUCUGUUUCUAAAAAAAUUUAAGCAGUUUUUCAAGUUGUAAAGUUUCUUGCCGAGUUUUUGUCGAGUCAAAAAUUUUAGGUCUACCGAGUUCAAGUUUGCCAACCAUGGUAGUAGCUAUUUUCUUUGCUACUAUAAGAACCUGUUCCACUUAUACCUUCAUCCAUUAUAUUAGGAAUAAGCUUACCUCUAAUAGAGUGGAGAGCUAGUAGUCAUACAUAGCACCUUCCAUUUCUUGAUUUACAAGUUGACAGAAUAAAAGAGGCUCUUGCAAUAUAAUGAGGUAUUGAGCCUAAGGAGAGCCAUCACAGAUUGAUGCAAACAACAGGCAGGUAGGAUUGGUUGCUGUUACAUUGGAUAAGCUAGACAGUUCAUCAUCCAACUCUGAUGCUAAAAAAUUAACAUGAUGUGGAGCAAUAGCUAAUGACUAGUGCUUCAAAUGAGGAUUUUGAUUACACUACCAAUUAACUAUUUUGCCAAUUUGUAAUUUUGGAGUUGUAUUGGAAUUUGACAUUUUAUAUAUUGGGUAUUAAGUAAGCUCUCACAGAGGAUGAAAUUGAAACUUACGACUAUAUUCAAACU